UAUGGGCCGAGACCUUGGCAAUGAUCGAAUGUUGUUCCUGGCCAAUCUGGUUCGCUCUACAAAAGCUCAGAGGGGCUUCAGGAGGGCUCUGGCUUAUGUGGAAUGACGAUCUUAAGGUUUCUGUUCGUAGUUCUUCCUUCCACUUUAUCUUAGCGGAUGUAGUUCAUCUAGCCUCGGGGGUUCACUUUUGUUUGGUUUGUAUAUAUGGUGACCCCUACCAUAGGCAGACUAGUGACAUUUGGAAUCAGAUCUCCACUUUUGUGUAUGAUAACUUUGGCAAACCCAUGAUCUGUAUGGGUGAUCUUAACGAUAUUUUGUAUGA